rnacentral:rRNA from 1 species
UACGGGGGGGGCAAGCGUUGUUCGGAAUUACUGGGCGUAAAGGGCUCGUAGGCGGCCAACUAAGUCAGACGUGAAAUCCCUCGGCUUAACCGGGGAACUGCAUCUGAUACUGGAUGGCUUGAGUUUGGGAGAGGGAUGCGGAAUUCCAGGUGUAGCGGUGAAAUGCGUAGAUAUCUGGAGGAACACCGGUGGCGAAGGCGGCAUCCUGGACCGACACUGACGCUGAGGAGCGAAAGCCAGGGGAGCAAACAGG